UGUACUCACAACACUAAAUUUACUCAAGGCAUACAAUUUGCACAGAAAACUUGAUGAUUUCAACAGCAGAAAGAAUGGCAUUAUAUAGCCUUCUGCUAAACCUAAAUAUAAACUAACAAGCCUAGAAUAGACCUUGAGAAUAGGUCUUGGACCUU